rnacentral:rRNA from 1 species
AUGGCACCCAUGGCCGACAAGACGGGACCCUCGGCCUCGGCCAUGGCCGCCUGCUCGGGAGAUGGGGUCGCCAUGUUCGACGCCGCCAGCGCCUCGUGGACCUCAGCUCCAAGACUAGAUGGCAGUGUGGACGUUGUGUAUGACAAGGAGAACAUAUGGGUCGUGUGCGUCAUCAUCGACCACCCAUCAUCGAGGACAGGGCCUCAUGUGGGACCUCGGUAG